rnacentral:rRNA from 1 species
AUUGAACGCUGGCGGCAGGCCUAACACAUGCAAGUCGAGCGGAUGACAGGAGCUUGCUCCUUGAUUCAGCGGCGGACGGGUGAGUAAUGCCUAGGAAUCUGCCUGGUAGUGGGGGACAACGUUUCGAAAGGAACGCUAAUACCGCAUACGUCCUUCGGGAGAAAGCAGGGGACCUUCGGGCCUUGCGCUCUCAGAUGAGCCUAGGUCGGAUUAGCUAGUAGGUGAGGUAAUGGCUCACCUAGGCGACGAUCCGUAACUGGUCUGAGAGGAUGAUCAGUCACACUGGAACUGAGACACGGUCCAGACUCCUACGGGAGGCAGCAGUGGGGAAUAUUGGACAAUGGGCGAAAGCCUGAUCCAGCCAUGCCGCGUGUGUGAAGAAGGUCUUCGGAUUGUAAAGCACUUUAAGUUGGGAGGAAGGGCAGUAAGUUAAUACCUUGCUGUCUUGACGUUACCGACAGAAUAAGCACCGGCUAACUCUGUGCCAGCAGCCGCAGUAAAAC